AGCGAACGCUGGCGGCAGGCUUAACACAUGCAAGUCGAGCGGGCACUUCGGUGUCAGCGGCAGACGGGUGAGUAACACGUGGGAACGUACCCUUCGGUUCGGAAUAACGCUGGGAAACUAGCGCUAAUACCGGAUACGCCCUUUUGGGGAAAGGUUUACUGCCGAAGGAUCGGCCCGCGUCUGAUUAGCUAGUUGGUGGGGUAAUGGCCUACCAAGGCGACGAUCAGUAGCUGGUCUGAGAGGAUGAUCAGCCACACUGGGACUGAGACACGGCCCAGACUCCUACGGGAGGCAGCAGUGGGGAAUAUUGGACAAUGGGCGAAAGCCUGAGCCAGCCAUGCCGCGUGAGUGAUGAAGGCCUGAGGGUUGUAAAGCUCUUUUGUCCGGGACGAUAAUGACGGUACCGGAAGAAUAAGCCCCGGCUAACUUCG
rnacentral:rRNA from 1 species